GCUUUUGUUUUAAAGCAGGGUGGGGAACCUUUUUCUGCCAAGGCCCAUUUGGAUAUUGAUAACAUCAUUCUGGGGCCAUAUGAAAUUAUCAACUUCAAAACUAAAUGGCUAUAUUUGGUCAAACACUUAAUUAACUCACUCCUAAUGCCUUGGCAGGGCCAGACUAAGUGACUUUGCGGGCCUUAU